rnacentral:rRNA from 1 species
CACGGGGGGAGCAAGCGUUGUUCGGAAUCACUGGGCGUAAAGGGUGUCUAGGCGGUCAGGUAAGUGAGAUGUGAAAUGCCCCGGCUUACCCGGGGACCUGCAUCUCAUACUGCCUGGCUUGAGUAUGGGAGAGGAUGAGGGAAUUCCUGGUGUAGCGGUGAAAUGCGUAGAUAUCAGGAGGAACACCGGUGGCGAAAGCGGCUCUCUGGGACGGUACUGACGCUGAGACGCGAAAGCGUGGGGAGCGAACAGG